rnacentral:rRNA from 1 species
UACGGGGGGGGCAAGCGUUGUUCGGAAUUACUGGGCGUAAAGGGCUCGUAGGCGGCCAACUAAGUCGGAUAUGAAAUCCCCAGGCUUAACCUGGGAACUGCAUCCGAUACUGGAUGGCUUGAAUCCGGGAGAGGGAUGCAGAAUUCCAGGUGUAGCGGUGAAAUGCGUAGAUAUCGGGAGGAACACCAGUGGCGAAGGCGGCUUCCUGGCCUGUUCUUGACGCUGAGGCGCGAAAGCUAGGGGAGCAAACGGG